UUGAACGCUGGCGGCAUGCUUUACACAUGCAAGUCGGACGGCAGCACAGAGAAGCUUGCUUCUUGGGUGGCGAGUGGCGAACGGGUGAGUAACAUAUCGGAACGUACCGAGCAGUGGGGGAUAACUAAUCGAAAGAUUAGCUAAUACCGCAUAUAUUCUGAGGAAGAAAGCAGGGGACCAUUUGGCCUUGCGCUGUUUGAGCGGCCGAUAUCUGAUUAGCUAGUUGGUGGGGUAAAGGCCUACCAAGGCGACGAUCAGUAGCGGGUCUGAGAGGAUGAUCCGCCACACUGGGACUGAGACACGGCCCAGACUUCUACGGGAGGCAGCAGUGGGGAAUUUUGGACAAUGGGCGCAAGCCUGAUCCAGCCAUGCCGCGUGUCUGAAGAAGGGCUUCGGGUUGUAAAGGACUUUUGUCAGGGAAGAAAAGGAUAGGGUUAAUACCCCUGUCUGAUGACGUACCUGAAGAAUAACC
rnacentral:rRNA from 1 species